rnacentral:rRNA from 1 species
CGGUGGAGUAUGUGGUUUAAUUCGAUGCAACGCGAAGAACCUUACCUGGUCUUGACAUCCGGAGACCCUUAGGAAACUAGGGGUGCUUCCAUCUGGAAGAAUCUGGAGACAGGUGCUGCAUGGCUGUCGUCAGCUCGUGUCGUGAGAUGUUGGGUUAAGUCCCGCAACGAGCGCAACCCUUGCCUUUAGUUGCCAGCAGUUCGGCUGGGCACUCUAAAGGGACUGCCGGUGUUAAACCGGAGGAAGGUGGGGAUGACGUCAAGUCCUCAUGGCCUUUAUGACCAGGGCUACACACGUACUACAAUGGCCGAUACAAAGGGCAGCGACACUGCGAGGUGAAGCCAAUCCCGUAAAAUCGGUCUCAGUCCGGAUUGGAGUCUGCAACUCGACUCCAUGAAGUUGGAAUCGCUAGUAAUCGUGGAUCAGCAUGCCACGGUGAAUACGUUCCCGGGCCUU